rnacentral:rRNA from 1 species
CCCCUAGAUGUUCUGGGCCGCACGCGCGCUACACUGAACAGUUCAACAAGUCUUAACCUUGGCCGAUAGGUCUGGGUAAUCUUUGAACGCUGUUCGUGAUUGGGAUAGACCUUUGCAAUUAUGGGUCUUCAACGAGGAAUUCCUAGUAAACGCAAGUCAUCAGCUUGCAUUGAUUACGUCCCUGCCCUUUGUACACACCGCCCGUCGCACCUACCGAUUGAAUGGUCCGGUGAAAUCUCGGGACGGCGGCUUGGUCGCUUGCGUCCGACUGCUGAAACUUGAUUAAACCAUAUCAUUUAGAGGAAGGUGAANUCGUGACA